rnacentral:rRNA from 1 species
AGGGUGUAAACGCUGCAGACUUGGUGUUGGAGGCCCUUUGGGGGCAUUCAGUGCCGGAGAGAAGUUGUUAAGUCUGCUACUUGGGGAGUACGUCCGCAAGGAUGAAGCUUAAAGGAAUUGGCGGGGGAGCACCGCAACGGGAGGAGCGUGCGGUUUAAUUGGAUUCAACGCCGGGAAGCUCACCGGAUAGGACAGCAGAAUGAUUGCCGGGCUGAAGACCCUGCAUGACUAGCUGAGAGGAGGUGCAUGGCGUAGACGUCU